rnacentral:rRNA from 1 species
CCUACGGGAGGCAGCAGUGAGGAAUAUUGGUCAAUGGACGAGAGUCUGAACCAGCCAAGCAGCGUGAAGGAUGACUGCCCUAUGGGUUGUAAACUUCUUUUAUAUGGGAAUAAAAUGUUCCACGUGUGGGAUGUUGUAUGUACCAUAUGAAUAAGGAUCGGCUAACUCCGUGCCAGCAGCCGCGGUAAUACGGCGGAUCCGAGCGUUAUCCGGAUUUAGUGGGUUUAAAGGUCGCGUAGGUGGAUUGGUAAGUCAGUUGUGAAAGUUUGGGGCUCAACCGUAAAAUUGCAGUUGAAACUGGCAGUCUUGAGUACAGUAGAGGUAGGCGGAAUGCGUGGUGUAGCGGUGAAAUGCUUAGAUAUCACGAAGAACUCCGAUUGCGAAGGCAGCUCACUGGACUGCAACUGACACUGAGGCUCGAAAGUGUGGGUAUCAAACAGGAUUAGAUACCCUAGUAGUC